rnacentral:rRNA from 1 species
UACAGAGCCUGCAAGCGUUAUUCGGAUUCACUGGGCGUAAAGGGUGCGCAGGCGGCCAAGUGUGUUAGGCGUGAAAGCCUGAGGCUUAACCUCAGAAUUGCACCUAAAACUACAUGGCUAGAGCAUUGGAGAGGGUAGCGGAAUUCACGGUGUAGCAGUGAAAUGCGUAGAUAUCGUGAGGAACACCAGAGGCGAAGGCGGCUACCUGGACAAUUGCUGACGCUCAGGCACGGAAGCGUGGGGAGCAAAAGGG